GGGUGAUCUAAAUUGUGCUCAUGAGGAAAUAGACAUCUUCAAUCCCGCGAUAUCAAAGUUGUUACAGUGCUCACUCUAGAGGAAGAGGAAGAGUAACUCAAUAUCAGUUGAGGAUCAUAUUGCAUUAGCCUAGAUUACUUGAGAGAUAUAUACACCUAAAUAACUGGUUCUCACCUUUAAUUCCUCAUCACUCAUCUACCAAAGUUUACUCUCAAAUCAACAUGUCCAGGACCCUAUUAGAGAGAUUAAUUCCCCUAGGAAAUCAAGGAGAGGAGCCUUAACUAGAAAAAGAUGAUUUGGUACCUUGAAUUGGAUAAUGAAAUCACCAAACAUGUCCGAAUCCCUCCUAUGAUGCAGAAAAAAAACCCACAAUCAAACAGGAUUCAGGGGAGUAUACUUGUAAAUACAAAGAAUGAACCAAUGUACCUCUUGAGCAAGUGCAGUGACAUAACCAAGUUGCUCUGUCUUGCAACGGGACCAUAUAACAGAAGUUAAAUUGUUGUUCAUAGCAAACUCAAAACCUGUAUGUGUCAGCCGAAGUUACAUUUAGCCAGAUACAAAUAUCGUUUUAAGAAAUAUGUUGCAAGCUAAGAGGAAACAAGUGCCAAUAAUCUAUGUACACGAAGUUAAAAACACCAACAAAAAAAAAAAAAAAAAAAAAAAAAAAAAAAAGGAGGGGAAAGUAAAAGGCACGGUUAAAAAAAUCACGAUUGCUAUAUAAAAAGGUGAUCGCAAGCCACUUAAUUUCACUAAAACCUUUUCUCACCCUAAAUCAAACACAAAAACCCUCCGAUCUUCAAUGGCGGAUAACUUAGCUGGAUUCUCGCAACGAUGUAGACAUAUACGUGAUAUUUUAC
rnacentral:lncRNA from 1 species